AUUAAUAAAUUAAUUUAUUAUAGCUUUUGCAUAAGAUUAAUCAUCAAUUGAAUUGAUGAUUAAAUCCUAGAAUGAUUCUUAAUCGUUGAUCAGCCACAUGAUCAGUUAAAAAAAUUUUUUGAGUGUAACUCAAUAAGUUCGAACCUAAAUUGAUAGUAUAGGAAUGAACUUUCUAUACCAAUCAAAGUGACCAUCUAGCAAUGAUACCCAACGUCCGGA
rnacentral:lncRNA from 1 species